rnacentral:lncRNA from 1 species
UGCAAGCAUGAAGUCAAUAGCUACUUUAGUCAGUAACCCACAAAACAUGUAAUUGAUUGAGAUUAGGGCUAGAGGAAACCAAAUUCAGUAAUGCAUAGAGGUCACCCUAAUCAGGGUGCACCUACUAAAAAAAUUGUGAGCACACUUGUCUGAGGAAAAAAUUCUGACCAUAAUGUAUUGAGCUUAACGCAAUGACCAUGUGCAUAGAAUUCUCCGGUAUCAAUUAUGGGUGAAUAAUUUUGCUGAUCUUUGAUUUUUAAUCUCACAAUGACCCGUUUCCAAAUUAGCAUAUAAAUCUUGCAUGUAUAAGGGCUAUGUUGGUUGUCAAUUGUCUUCGCUAUCGGCAUUGUUCCAACUAGUUGGGGGUUGGCAACAAAGCAAACAAUCACACAAGAAGGAUUAUGUGGUUGGACAGUACUCUUAUAUCCAAGUAGGAGAAUGAUAAGGGUUUCAAUCAUUCUCUUGCCUAAGCUCUGAGCUCAAAGCCAUUAUUUUAAUUACAUAACCUUUAUCAAUUUCUGUUAAAAGUAUUAUAUAAAUGCAAAAACAGCUUCAAAUACCAAAAUGUCCCUUGCCAUCAUAGCAAUUCUCUCUGGUACAGGGGUGGAUGGGUCACAAAGCUUGGUGCAGGCAUAAAAUAAAUUCCUGUGUAUAGUAGGUGCAGGCAUAAAAUAAAUUCCUGUGUAUAGUAGGUAAUAGACCAAGUAAAAGGCAUAUCUUAGAAGGCUAGAAUCACCAGACCACCUUGAAUACAAAUGCUCAACCCCUGGAAGCUACCUCCAUAUCUCUCCAUUACUCCACCAAUCAAAGCAAGAACUUUAUUUUAAAAGAACUUUCCCAUAAGAAUGUUACUUUAUGGAUGCCACCACUGUAUUUUAUUUUGUGAAGCAUGGCUGGUCUUGCAAUUCUUUCACAUGACCUUCCAGUUUUCUAAGAGGCCCUACUUACAAUUUAGAUCCCCCCUUACCAAUCUUCAUGAUCUUCUCUGCCCUUAAAAGGGUUCAAUAUCAACUUGCAGAAGAUAAUAACUCCCUGACAAACAACAUGAUCUAACACCCAUUUCUUUGACUUUUAGAGCUAUUUUUUAUCAGAGUUAGUUACACAGCAUUCUCAGCUAUGCUUUUAUGAAACACUUACAAAUCAAAUGUCAAAUGUGACUCUUACUUAUCACAUCCAUGGACACAACAAUGAAGUUCACACCAUCUGAAAUUAAAACAAAAUUUGGAGUACGACAUGGUCGAUCCAAAAUUAAUGUGGUACAGAAAAAUAGUGCCUCUAUUGCCCCUUUCAUGAAAUCCUACUGAAUGGAAACUCAAUUGAAGCACUGUCACUCCUCAAAUUAAAUAUUAUGUUCUCCUAUAUAUAAUAACUAUAGACUAGC